GGGGGCGUUUCUUCACUUCUGUAGUCUAUAAGCUGGGCCAAGAAACUUCUACUGUAGUAAAAUAAAAAGGUAAAGGUGUUUUUAUUGAGCCGAAUUAUCAAUAAAAUCAUGAUUUUGUUAACAGGUAUGGAUUUAUGUGCUGUCGAGUUAAUAUAUUUGAACAAGAGCACAGUAAAGUUAAAUCAGCUAAUUUUCCAAUGAGGUUCUGUUACUAAAUGGAACUACAUUAUGAUCUACUCAGGUUAGUACAUAUAGGGCCCCAGCCAUAAUACUAGACACUAAACAUCUUUUUAACUUUGACUCAUUUCUUUAGCAAAGAGACUAAACACAACUCACCUACUCUCUUCCAGCAGACGCUUGUUUGUAGUCCAUUACGGACUACAGCGGGGUGCCGCAGCCCAAGGAAGAACAUUUAUGAUCAUUUCUUUAUCAUUUCCUUGAAGUAAUAAUCACCAUAUUAAUCAUUUUACAGACACGGUAGUUCUUCUGUCUUAGCGUCUCGGUCUGAUUGUAUUUCCAUGAAGAAAUUAUCAUAAAUGUUCUUCCUUGAGCUGCGGCACCCCGCUGUAGUCCGUAAUGGACUGACUUUACUGAUAGAAAUAAGCAUAAAACUAACGUCUGUUUCCAUCUCUUUAUAAAGAAAUAAAUUAAUUUUGUUGGAUCAAAGUUUUUUUUGCAAUGGUUAUUGACAGACGAAGCCCUAGUGUUUUUUUUUUCCACUGCUUUAAAGGGCGAUUACAAACUUUUUAAUGAGAUACAAAGAGGAGCAGAAGAGUUGAAGUUUCAGAGUCACGAGGCCGCCCUGAAGUCAUCGUGGUUCAUACAGAAGAAGAAAACAAAACCGCUCCUCCAUUUUAAAUUAAGAAAGAGAGAAAACAACGAGAAAAACAGGGAAGGUCACAAACCUUCAGAGACGACAAGAAAAGAAAGGAAAUGAGGAGGAGAGAGGACAAAAGAGCAGCGAGGAAGGAGGGAUGAUGGCGUGGUCUUCAGCCCUCUCAUUAUAAAGGUCAUUAGUGUUUCCUCUCUCCUCUGGGCGCUGAUUAAUAACAUCAUUUAACAACGACCCUCCGUUUCAAAGUUUGGAGGAAAUAAGGUCAUCAGAGAGGAAGUUCACGCCGCAGUAAACAACCGACAUAAAUAUCAGGACGAUUUUUAACCCUCUGAAUGAGAGAAAAGGAAAAGUCAGACCUGGAUCAUGGUCUUUGAGAAACCAGCUCCUCGCUCUCUAGAUCUGGUGAGGAGUCGCAGAAAUCUACAUUCACAGAUUUCAGUUUGAUUAUUCGUCCUUGUGGUUAAUUUCAUAAACCUGGCGGCGUAUUCAGCUCUCGUUCGGCGGUACACCUGGCCCCGUUUAAAUUUUAAUUCCUCCUCUCGGCGCCGUUCAUUAUGUCUGUAAUUGUCCUGUUUCUUUAGCGGCUGACUUUGCCUGCAGCUCAGAGAGUCCAGGGCUGCAGAAACACAGUUAAUGACGGACCGAAGGUUCAGCAAAUUCACCGACUCGGACUCUUAUACGGCGUGUUUUUACAGGCCAAAACUGAUGGUUCCCAGUUCCUCCUGGAUGAUCCAAACCACAACCUGGAGAGGAUUUUACACUGAAGGAUGCCCGGACUAAAACUGGAACACUGAGGAGUGAUGUUACUGCUUUAGUAAAAUCAAUAAAGACAAUAUUUAUCCGGACAUGAUGCAGAUUUCUGCAGAAAAGUAGAGAGCUGAAUGCGUGACUUUACGUCUAUUGAUGCAGAGCUUAGAUGUAUUUGGUUAAAAUCUUGGUUAAUUUUUUAAAACUCUGCGCUGAAGGAUAUUUUUUCUGGUUUUUCCAACAUUUAUGAGCAUAAAGAACCAAAGUGAGGCGCUGAGAAACUGGACGUUCUUGAAUUUGCCCACUAUCCUGGCAGUACAUACUGAUUUACCCAAAAUGUAGAAUACAGUAUUCGGUAGGUGAACAAAUGUGAAAUUUGUAGUUUGCCAAAGAUACCCGGAUGACGAACUGAUUCUGGAAAAUUUCACAGUAUGCAUCGGGCCAGUCUGCUUCACCUACUGUUACCCACAAUGCAAAGCACCUAGUGGAGAGCAGCGAAACUUUUCACCGGUGCGUUCAUUUUCUAAGAAGAUUUUUCCUUCUGACAGCCUGUCUUCUUCUUCUUCUCCUCCUUCUUUAAAACCACUGACAGGAAUGUUCUCUUAUCAUACCUCUGCAAACAUGAGCGUGUGUUUUAGAGCUGCCACCUCUGACCCGUGUAUGUAUCUGUUAUGGAGAGGGUGGUAUCGUCUGCAAAGAGAGGAACAUUGUUUUAGUUUUUCCAACAACAUCAUUCAUUUUCAUAAAAAAGAUAAGUGGGCCAAGACCAGAUCCCUGAGGUCCUCCUGCAGGCUGACAGCUUGUUGAUAAACAGAGUGAAGGGAAAUCUCAGAGGUGGAGUUUAGAUGUAGCUCAGUUAUCUUUUCACUUAAGCAGAUGGGACCUGAAUCGCUCCUGAACCUGAACCUCCGCUCUAAAAAGAUAAGGUGUUGAGACGCUGUAAAUCUGGAAGUGUUAAAAACCUGAAACUAAAGCUUGGAUCGAAGAGAGGAGAGUGAGAAACAGAGAGCAUGUGGAGCAGCAGGUGGAGGGAAACACUUGGUAUUAGCAGCAGCGGUUCAGCCCCGCUUUCUGUCUCCACCUGGGAUUCCCGCCUUUCCCCAACACUCUGUUUAACGCCUCAACAGUUAUCCGAUCCUUAAUCAAGCCUGCAUCAAAUCUACUCCCACAGAGCUCUGUUCCUGUGUGUGUAAGUGUGUGUUUAAGUGUGUGUGUUAAAGUGUGUGCCCUGCAGCGCUAACUCACAAUAAGGUCUCUGUGUUGAGUUUUAGCGUUAAACCCGCGCUGAUAGAGAGCUCGACGUCUCCGUGGGGGAAAUGUUGUUAAAUGAUUUUACUCUGUGCGUUGAAUUAAACAUGACAGGACUCCCCUUCCUGAAUACAUAACAACAACAACAACAACAACAAACAGCUACACAUCCUCUUCACCGCUGCUGCUGCUGCUGCAGAGGCUGCUGUAGACAAAGUCAAAGCUGCUGAACUGAAGUGCUGCCGGCAAAAUAGAAACUCCUCCUCUAAAAUUUACUCUGAUGUUUGUGUUUCACUUGAUUUUUCUCCAGCUUCUUCCUCCGUCUGAACAUCCAACCUGACAAUUUCCAAAUUUGUUUUACUGGAACGAAGUGUCGUUUUUAUGUUGGCACAUGUAUACAUGAUGUUUUUGUAGCUCCAGUUUCUUCCUCCGUCUGAACAUCCAAGCUGACAAUUUACAGAUUUGUUUUACUGGAACGAAAUGUCGUUUUUAUGUUGGCACAUGUUUGUGAGGCAAAUUUUGUGGCGGGUUACAGACAGCAGGAAUCGUGAGAACUCACAAGAACCUGCGAAUUCUGGCGAUCCGCAGAGGAACGGAAAGAAGUCGGUGUAAAUUGACACGUUAACUUGAAUGGUUACGAUCAGCUACGAUUGGAGGAUACGACCUUUUCGUAGAUGUUCACAUCCGGAACUGCAGCGAUUUUUGCUCACCGUUAUAUACCAAUCUGGAUACGUCCAUGCUUCGCGUUCCUUUCGUCCGUAUUUCUGCGAGUAUCCUUGAAGUUUAUGGAUACAGGCCAGACGGCGCAGUACACCGGAAACCAUGGGGGCAGUGUUGCUCCUGUCACUACCUGAUACGCAUCUCUAAAGAGAAACGAGAAAGACAAUGGCGGGGCUUUUUGAGGAUUGUUGUCAAUUUCUCUCAUCGGUACGACUAGAAAAAAGAAUUCUCCGUCCUCCAACAGCGAGGCAUUUAUUCGCCUGACCGACCACCGCCUCCUCCUACGCUGCCCUCGUUUCUGUGUCCUCUAUUAUCAUUAGCCUCUCCACAGUCGCCAUGUUUCUUUUUGUUUGUUGUUGUCAGAAAUUUUGACUCCGGCCUGCCCCCUGGUGGAUGCAAAGCACGCAUGGAAGUAUGUGGGCAGUGACGGAACCAUUGUUUGAAACGGACGCGUACAUUUUCAUACGUAUGUCGAGCAUAAAUGAGCCUGAAGAGUUAGCCAGGAGGGGGACUUGGUAAGGACAGUAUUUCAGGGCUUUUCUGGAUCUCAGGAUACCAGCGGGCAGUGUUGCUCCUGUCACUGGCAGAGUUCCUGUCUCACUGAAUCCUACCUGCUGAGUUACUCACUUUCUUCAGAUAUCAGAGGUUAAAUACACCUAAACAAGAGUCUUUUAUUGGUUUGAUUACACAGUAGAGUUGACUCCAUCUUUAACGGUCAAUAUUCCAGCUGCAGGUUUCGGAUUAGAUCCCUGGACACUCCCCUGUAGAUGCUGCACCUGUAUGUUUUGCUGAUCCCCUCUCGUCCUCGGAAAACCUCGCCUCAUUUACCCGUUUCUCUACGGCUAAAUCCUUUCCUGUGCACUCGACUGGGUUUGAGAAGUACAGUUAUUUGUUAAACAAACUUUUCCAGCUCCUGUUUACUUCCUAAUGAUCCUCUGACACGGUGAAAUACCACAAGCAGUCAUCUGUCUGCGUUAUAAUUAACCAGAGAGCCAAAUGUGAGACGACGGGAGGGAUAUGGAUGUGAAUAUCUGACAACGUUACGGCUUGUUUCCAGAGCUAAACCAGAGGGAAUGAGACCCACUGUUACAGCUGAUGGUUUGUGUGCUCCACCGGGGCCGCGAUUAUGUGUGUAAGUGUGUUCAAGUGUGUGUGUGUGCUGAAAGUGUCAUCCUUCAACAAACCGCACCGAGAAUCUGUCAACAUGACAGUAAAGCGGAGCUCAAACUGAAACAUCUGUCAACACGCCGUAAACAAACUCCCCCUCCCUCCUGUUUCAGCGUCAGCUCAGGCUGGAUAAUGUGCCGAACAAGACGUUAAAAAGGAAGAUGAUUACAAGCUCCGGAGGAAUAACAGACGCGCUGGAUCUCAGGCUAAUAAAAGGAAAUAAUGAGACUUCAGAUUCUCUCAAUCUGCAGAUUUGACCGAAGGAAUCCGUUUUUAGAUCCAUAAUCUGAUCAGAUAUCCAAGACCUCUUUCAGAAACUGAAGAAAUCUGCCUCCAUCAUCACAUUAGACAAAAUGAGAGACAGAAAUAAUCUGAAAAACAGAUUCAAGUCUCCUACAGUGACCUUUAGACAAGUAACAAGCCGAGCAUUUACAGAGCGAGAAGAUAUUAAACAGACUGAGAGACAAAAUGUUCCUGCUCCUCAGUCUGUUUGUCACCCAGUCCUCAUGCUGAGGAAAUGGAUGUAAAUAGGCCAAUUAGAGCUAUUUAUGUGGAACAGGUCUUUAAAUGUCUGAGGGGGGUGAAGAAGUGAGUGUCUGUGUGCAUCUGCAGCACUUUAAGGGUUUUAGAGUCCUUUAGCCGAAGUACACAACCAAUCUGCAGAGGAAAACAACUCCAUUUAAGAGGCCAAGGACCAAACGCUGGGAGAGGACCACGAGGACCUCCGGAGUCUCAGGUGGUCCGCUGGUUUGUUGGUUUGAUGUUUGGUUUACUGGUUAUUUGAUUGGUUGGUUCAUUAGUGACUUGAUUGGUUUGUUGAUUGGGUUGGUUGGUUCAUUGGGAAGUUAAUUGGUUGGCUGGUUUGUUGUUUGCUUUAUUAGUUAUUUGAUUGUUCGUUCCAUUAGUGAGUUAUAUGAUUGGCUGGUUGUUUGGUUAAUUAGUGAGUUAGUUUGGUUUUAUAACUUGGUUCGGAUGUUUGUUGGUUGAUUAGUUUGUCUGAUUUUUGAUUUGUUGUUUGAUUUACUAGUUAUUUGAUUGGUUGUUCCAUUAGUAAGUUUAUCAGUUGGCUGGUUGGUUUGUUGGUUAGUUGUUUGCUUUAUUCGUUAGUUGGUUGGUUAGUUCAAUAGUUUCUUGGUUGUCUGAUUGGUUGGUUGCUUCAUUAAUAAGUUGGUCGAUUUGUUGCUUGGUUCGUAUGUUUAUUGGUUGGUUCGUUAGUAACUUAGUUGGUUGGCUGAUUGGUUGGUUUAGUUGGUUCGUUAGUGAGUUGGUUAGUUUGUGGCUUGGUUUGUAAGUUUGUUGGUUCAUUAGAUUUUUGAUCGGUUGCUUUGUUGUUUGCUUUAUUAGUAAGUUAGUUUCUUGGUUGCUUCAUAAUUAGUUGUUUGGUUUGUUGUUUGGUUCGUAUGUUCGUUGGUUAGUUUGUUUUUUUCUUGAUUGGUUGAUUUGUUUGUUUCUUUGGCUGACUGAUUCUAGAUUUCGAGGCCCUAUCAUGACCCAAAAACUCACCUUUUCUUAUACUGAGUCGUGUACAAAUAUCUCUGAAGCGCCAUUUUUAUUUCAAGUAUUUAUAGAUUCAGUCAAGCCAACAGAGUUUAGAAAGCAUGUUCCAUUAACUAAUGACAAACAGCAAAAUGCACAUUAAAUAUCUGAUAUUAUAUCCCUUUAAAGUUUAGUUCGUGUGAGUCUGUGUGAAUUUGGAGAUGUGCUGGGUUGAUGGUUUGGUUUGAGUUUGUUUGGCAGAAGAAUCAGGAACUCUCGAGUUAGCUGGAUUCUCAUGAAGUUAAACUCUUCACCUUACACUAUAACCCUCAUGUUUUUAAAGUCUAAACAUUGAUCCUGGUUGUAAAAUAAACCAGGACCAUAUCUCUCCCCCCAGCUGUGACGCGGUCCUGUAUCUCGACUCCGAUCUCAGGGCUGGUUUUUCUCUCCGGCACAAUGACUUCUUUACUCCCGUGUUCAUCGGUGGCUCAUCAAAAGGAUUCGAUGACUGAGCUUCGACCUCCAUGAACGUGAGAGAGUAAAUGUGUGUGCGCUGGAUCUCCCUGAGGAGCUCCAUUCAGGGAGGCGAACACUCGGCUCAGUGUCCCGCUCCGUUCAUUGACCUCCUGCCAGCCGAUGGGACCUGCUCGCUCUUUUAUUUUCUCGCAGACACAAAAACACGCUUUCUUCUUCCUCUCCUUCUAUCUGCAGGUUUAUCCUCUCUCCAUAUUGGAAUACGUUUUCUUUGACUCUCUUUCUCUUCUUACCCUCCUCCUCCUCCUCUCUUUCUUUCUUUUGAUCCUUUUGCUUCAAUCGUUCCCUUUGUGCCGAGACACAUUACUCUGCCGACAGAGCCCUGAAUCCUCGAAAAGAUCCGAUCUAUCUCUGAGGGUCUGGGGUCCUUUAGGGCUGGACACAGGAGGGACCAGAUAAACCUUCAAACACACUAAAGUAAACAGACGGUUUCUGCACAUGAGCUAAAAGCAUCAUGGGAAAGUUUCUCCACGGUCAUGGUUAAUGAAGCAGCAGCAGCUCUGAUGAAGAUCAGCUGAUCAAACCGGUCUGUGAAGGUCCAGGACUCUGAUGAGAUCUCAGUUCUCAGUUUUCUCUUUCACAAAGACCAGGAAACAGAAACAGAAGAAACGAGGACCUGAGGGAUCCUGAGAGACCAAGUCUGAGGACGCUUUUACUUUCCUUUAUCUCCUUCUUCUUCUUUCCUCCUCCCUAUCUCUUCUUUCCUUCCCCUUUCUCCUACUUCUCUCCUCUCUUCUUCUUCUUUCUUAAUUUCAUUCUUUUCUUCCUUACUCCCUCUCUUUUCCUUCUUACUUCCUUUCCUUUUUUUUCUCAUUUACUUUUUCUCUUCCUUAAUUCCUACUUCCUCAUCUUCUUUUCUUUCUCUCCUUCCCUCCUUACUUCUUUCUUUACCUCCUCCUUUCUCUCCUGUCUCUUCUUCUUCUCCUCUUUCUUCUUCCUACUUUCUUCUCUUCUUCACUUUCUCUCCCUUUCCUUCCUUCCUUCCUUUCUCUCAUUCUUACUUCCUUUUCUUUAUUUUCCCCCUUUUCUUUCUUUCCUUUCUCUCCUUCGUCCUUCCUUUUCUUUCUCUCCUUCCCUCCCUCCUUCCUUCCAUCUAUCCUUUUCUUCCUUCCUUCCUUCCUUCCUUCCCUCCUCCCUCAUCUCCCUCCUCCCUUCCUCCUCCCUCCUUUGUCAUCAUUGAUUUUCUUUAUGUGGCCCCCUCACUCAAUUCCUAUUUUUUUUUUUAAAUACUAUUACCUACCGGGUCAUACACACAGUAUUUUGCAUGGGAGAGGAAUUGGUGAUGCUACAAAAUAUAAACCAGGGAAUUGUGUGAUGUGUCUGUAUGAGUGUUAACUCCCAUGCAUGUCUUAAGAUAGCCCCCCAAAUGUGCACAACAUCAAUCAACAGGAACUACACGUUUAAAUUCACAAAUAUUCACAGGAUAAAGAAAUCAGAUAAGAGAAGAAAAAAAUAGUUCUUAAUACCCGGGAUUUUAUAAAUCAGUCUGUGGUACCACGUACGUUGGCGCGCUGUUGGAGCUCUUGUGUGGGUGUGAUUUCCAAGUCGUUUGUACUCACGGUCCCUUGCAAAUUUAGUGUGUUGUUAUAACCAUCAUGGACGCACAGAAUGGAAGAAGGAGAAAGUCGGUCCGCGUGCCGAAGUCCCUGGGCGCGGGAUCUCUACUGCCGCAGCAGGAGUGGCCAGUAUCCGAAGUUCACUGACAGCACAAAAAACAAAACUUCACAUACACGUACUCACUGACAACGUGCCUGAGAUAACAAUAAGCAGUCUGAUACUCACUCAGGAACCUGAAAUUAACACCCGACCUCGCACGUGCAUCCUGACUCCAGUCUUCCUCUGCUCCUUCACCGUCGAUGCUAGUCAGCUAACAAUUUAGCAUAUUUACGAACCUCGCCGAAUCUACCAACAACACUCACCCGCACGUCUCGAAACAACCACACACCCCCGCCACGAGCCAACACACCGAGCCUCAAUCCUGUUGGGUCUUCGUUUAACACUUAACAAACGAAAGAACAAACUUUCACACGAUUAUUUCGCCUUUUCUCGGCAUCGCUGGAGCAUUUUUUCCGCUCUGUCAAUCACCGCUCUCUCUUACCGAGAUGAAAACCCCGCCUUCCCAAAAUCUGACAGGUCCCACUCCUCACCCAAACUUGACAAUGAUUGGCGAUUCGCUCGUGACGCCUGUCAAUCACGCAAUACAGGGACAACCGGACAUGAGGCGUUCAAGGUCUGCCUUAACCGCGGGAUAUUUGGAAAACUUUAACAAAAAAAUUACAUUCCUGAGAUUAUGAGGCGAUAUCUUACAUAAUCAACAAGAAAAAUAAGAGCUAUCACAGAAUCAAACAACUUUAAGAAUGAACUCAAAUUACUAGGGCACUACAUUUAAGACCUACAGAAACGCUCUCGAACCCGUCCUUCAAACCCAACAGGAAGUCGGCCAUUUUUAAUAUGAGUUAUAAUUGAACGAAUGUCAUCAGAUCAAGUGAACCCCUGAACACAUCUAUGUACCUAUAUCUAGAUAUAGAUUAUGGAGCAGGAGUCUAGUUUGUGAAUGUCUAUACUGAGGAAAGUCAAAGUCAAACCGUGGGACUGUCAGGAUGUGGGUUCCUCUUCAGUCACAGACCAGUUCCUGCUGAAGUCCCAGUUUAAAGUUCUUAAUAAGAAGGAGGACGAUGUCUGUAAACCCGACUCUGCUCCGUCUCUUCUUCACCACGAGGAAAACUUCUAAUCGGCUCUCUUUUCCCGACAGACAGAUGGCACUGUGUGGGCUGGAGGCGGCGCGGAAAGGUCACGGCGAGAGGAAGACGAAAUGAUUUUGUUUUUUCUUUUUCUCUGAAAUGUCGUCUGCUCGUCUGAUUUUUAUUUUAACUCCCUCCCACAGAAAGUUGUCUGUCUCUGUGGCGCUGCAGGAAACUCUUCGGAGGUUUAAUUAAGAAGAUAGAAACAUAAACCCGACAAAGAGUCAGUGAAAUCGCUGAAUAACCUUUAUGAACUGUGGCGUCUGGCUGAAUAAUACGUCUGCGUCUCUUUAAAUUAAGUACACUGACGUUUCCUUUGACUUUACAUUUGUUUACAUCAUGUCAGCUGGACGAGAUUCAAUUAGCGCCUUUUUCCCAGAGUGAACCCGUUGACAGUGAGAUGAGUCUGAACCUGGAGGACCGGCGUUUUAAUGUCAGUAACAGCUCUGUCUGCGGCGGUGAUGAUGGCGUCUCAUAAACACGGAUGUUGUUCUGAUGGUGUGAGGUCUGCUGGGAAACUUUCUGACUCAUUAGAUCCUUUUCUAUGUGACCGUCGUCUCUGCUUACCUCAGCCUGGAGCUUUCUGAGGAGGUCGUGUUGAAGGCCAACUUCUUCUGCAGAUGAUUUCUUUAAGGUCACGAUGGUGGACGUACGCCGCAGGUGUAGAUGCUGAAAGUAAAGAAUAAAGUCAGCAGGUAUGGAGAUCAAAAGCAUGAAGCAGACCGCCAAAGUGAAACCUGAGCUCCUAUCUGUGGUUAUCUGACCGUCAUCUGUCUCAGACAUGAUCAUUUUAUUAUUGUAAUGAAGUGACGGUCAUUAGUGGAGUCUAACCCUAAAUUUCCACUGCAUGCGGAAUGAUGGCGAUUGUUGCCUUUCACCAAUUUCUACCAGAUGCGUUUGUGACGCUAAUUUCAGACAAUGGAAUCGUGAGAACUCACAAGAACCCCCGAAUUCACGUUCAAUCAUGCGAUAACAAGUUGUCUCUAUAAAGACAGACACAUAGACAUAUAAGCAGUAGAUUGUGUCCUUCCAGAGGAGGAAAUCUACUCUCUCCAGACCUGUAGAUCUAGGGUGACCAUAAUUUGAAUCCCACUAUGAUGCGGGGUGGAGUCACGGAGUUGCACAUAGUAAAUUUUGAGAGUUUUUCAGGUCGGGUCAAGUGUUUUUUUUUUUACACACUUCUAACUCAACACAAACUCAACACUUUCAUACAAAACCGCAGACAUUUGAAGGAUUUUAUAAACUCCCCGGACAGGCCGGACAACCCCCCAAAAAAGAGGACAUGUCAAAAUAAAAGAGGACGCACGGUCACUCUAGUAGAUCAGACACUUUAGGAUUUAGGAUUGGGAAUUAACCAUAGUUAAGUUAAGUUAAAUAUUUAUCACUAUCGAGUGUUUUAUUUUGAAAAAAAGCCGGAUGUUUUAUUUUGUGUCUGUGCCCGACUUCCUUUCCAGCACGGGUUAAUCUGUGCUGAAUUUAUCCGCCAUGCUCCGGCGUCCAGAAAAAAUAGAACUCUUGUGAUCAGCUGAGGAGUCCGGCGAUCCGCAGAGGAACGGAAAGAAGUCGGUGUAAAUUGACUAGUUAACUGGAAUAGAAACGAUCAGUGGUGAUUAGCGCUGAUGACCUUUUCGCCACUUUUCUGUAUGUGGUGGAAAUUUGGGGUAACCGAGAGAUUCCACUGGAUCCGGAACAAACAAAGUUUUUGCAAGAUUACCAAUAUUUCUUGUGAGACUGGACGCGAUCUCAUGAGAUCUUGCGUGUUUGCCCUUGAGACACUGAAUGAGAUCCACCGAUCGGGGUUUAUAAACACCCACCUCCUACAACUCUGGAAUCCCCUAUCAUCAAGUUAAGAACAGUUCAAUGUAUUGACUUUAUUUUGCAAUUAACCUGAUAUUUCACUUUAUAGCCGCAUGAGGUGAUGCGCCGUGCUCCGGCGUCCAGCAAAAGUAGAAGACUUGUGUAUCUGAUCUGCUAGAGUCGAUCCACAGCGGAGCCGGACAGCGGACAGAUUGUGUUGAAUGACACACAUUGAUUAUAAUGCUUGUGUAUUUGAUCAGACCGCCGUUCUGGAUCCUGUGGGUUUCAGCCGUAAACUGUAUUACAGCCGCUUACAUCACCUGAGAGACGACAGAUUGUGGCGCAGGUUUUAAUCCAGAAAAUGAAGGUAAAUCUGAGUGUCGGUAAAAGCAGCACAGGUAUGAGGACGCUCAGGCUCUGCUGGUGUUCGACACAGACCUGUUGAUCUGCAGACUUCUGCGUUCAUGACCGUGUCUGAGUCUGUUAGUGAAUCCUCGAUUUGAAACGUUUUUUUAAACAGUUUUUACGUGUUUAUCUUCUAAUAUCAGCGUCCUCCAUCAUCAUCUUUCAUCCUUUCUCUCCUUUUUGCUAAUUUCGUCUUUAUUUCCAGCCAAGCGCUCUUGAAUGCGCGCCAUGACAAAGUUAUGAUUUCCAAUCUGCGCAGCUGAAGUUUGUGAGAUACAAUUAGCCAGCAGGGCCAUUAGCCUGCCAGUCAGGCCCCGACCAGGCGAGUCCACGGGGGCCUCUGGCUGUUAUUUCUCUGCGGGGACUAAUGAGGCACGUCAGAGCCAAGAGCGGCGCCGCUGACAGCCAACGCCACACGAUUCAUUUCUUUGAACGUAGAGACAGGGACGACAAAUCAUCUGUGGGGAUGAUUACAGUCAUGAUGAAGACGGCGGGUAUUUCCCUCAUCUUUUAGUGGUCUUUAAAGGUCUUCAUUAGAAAAACAGCCCUCUGGAUCCAGAGAGGAAAUUAAUCGACACCUCUCCUCCACAAAAACCGAGCAGAGCAGCUAUUUUUAAAAACACGUCUCUCAACCUUCAGAGCCAAAACAGCCCCGGCAAUUAACACGCUUUCCUUCAGCCUCUUCAAAAGGGAUUUAGUCUCUUUUGUCAGAUUUCAGCCUUUGGACUGAGCUGAAAUGAAGGGAUUGGGUUUAAUUUACAAGGAUGUCUUUGUGUGUUUUGGAUUAGCAUAUUUGAGGAAGGUCAGGGCUGAAGAGGACGUUUGAAAGGCCUGAUCUCUGCGCUCUCUUGAUCAGGGGCUCUGUAAACAGGAUGUGAUGACAAACGGCUCGACUCGACCCUUAAUAUCAGACGACGAGAUUCCCAUGAGCUGCAAACGAGUCGACCCAAACAUCUACAGAAAAACACGAGGGGCGGAUUCUCAAAGACGAGGAACCAACAGAUGAUUACUGAGUUCUUACAGCUCAGAGAGGACGUCGACAGGAGGACAGGUGUUCAGAGUUCACUCAGGUACAAGAUCCAGGUCCACUGAGAUCCAAGUGUUUCUAUCUUACCCGGACUAAUUUUAUCUGAUUUUAUCUGCUGACUGUUUUUUUAUUGUUUUGCCUUGUUGCUUGGUUUUUACUGUUAUUGUUGUCUUUUUGUGCACUUUGAGAUUUGUUUUUAAAUGUAAAGUGCGUUACAAAUAAAAUCUAUUAUUAUUAUUAUUAUUAUCUUCUUCAUUGAUAUUCCAGAUCAGACGCUCAGACUGCGUCAAAUGAGGGAUAAUGACACUAAACUGUGAAACAUAGAGAUACUGUCCUGUUCGAGCUGCUGCAGGAUUUUAGCCAAAAAUAAAGACCUGAUUCUUUUCUCUGAAAACUUGAUUUUCGAUUUUUUAUAUCAUGACAACUUCACCAAACUUCACUUUAAUAAAAAUAAAAAGUUUUUCUAUCGUCUCUCUAAACCAAACCACUGAAAACCAUGUAGUGUAUAUGCUGAGCCAGUAAGAGGCGCUGUAACGCUGCAGAGGAAAUGCACAAAAGACAGAAGAAGAGUACAGAGCAUGUGUAUAAAAGUUGUUUUGGCGCCAUAAAAGAGUAACCCCCGAUCUCCACCUUCAUCCUGAUCGUCUCCUAAAAGGUCGUAUCCUCCGAUCGUAGCUGAUCGUAACCAUUCAAGUUAACGUGUCAAUUUACACCGACUUCUUUCCGUUCCUCUGUGGAUCGCCGGACUCCUCAGCUGAUCACAAGAGUUCAAUUUUUUCUGGACGCCGGAGCAUGGCGGAUAAAUUCAGCACAGAUUAACCCGUGCUGGAAAGGAAGUCGGGCGCAGACACAAAAUAAAACAUCCGGCAAAAAUCGCUGCUGUUCUGGAUCGGAGCCGUUCCGUAUGCGGUGAAAUUUGGGGGUUACUCUGUGUGUCACAUGAUCGUUUCCAGAGAUGCAGAUAGACAUCCACACGGAGAUGAAAUGGUCGUCGUUUACAGAUUUAUUCACUCUCUGACCUGUUUUCAAAAAGUACCGUUUACAGUCACCUGAAACGCUGAUACAACAAAAACUUUGCGUUUCCUCCUGAAUUUGUUUCCGUGGUGACGGGUUCAUACCGCCUUCAGACAGACUUUACAGCGGGGAGUGGUUUACUCUUCAUCUGAAACUGUGAAGUCGUACCAAUUCAACACGACUGACUCGCUCUUGUCCUAUUUAACCACGAAAUUAUCGCCUUCUUUAACAAACGCCAUGUUUGUUUACACUGGUGAGUGUGGGAAGGGGGAGUCUACGGUGGCCUGGAGGUGCGAGACAUGAUAGAGAGGAAAAUCGAUUUGAGGAUUUUAACUUUUCUAACAUCGUCAUAAUUAAAUAAUCUGAUUAAAAUCGAUGAAUCGUGCAGCUCUAUGUCCCAUCACUGCUGAGUUUAAACAUGUGAAAAUAUUAAAACAUGACUUUGAAAAUGAGCUCACUGACUUCAGAUGUUAACUACAGAUACAACAAUCCACUGGAGAGACCUCCAAAAGGUGGAGGGUGGGUGGGGUUUGUUUAUUUUGGGGGUAAAUGACGGAUAUGGGACUGAAAACCAAAUCACUGUGUUAGUCCUGACUUUAUAAAUGAUGAUUGAGAAAAUGUUUUUGUUUUCUUUCAUUUAGUUGAACUGCCCCUUUAAUCUUGUUGAAUUCUUUCCCUUUAACAGUCCCGGACACUCUCCAUCUGAAUGAUAUUACCUUAAUUAAUGGUUAAUUACAGUAAAUAGCAGCCGUUUAAUCAUAAUUAGGAUCCUGAACUGUUGAAUGUCAACAUAGCGGUGUCACUUCUCAUUUCUCUGUUUAUUCAUUACAAGAGAGAAAAAAAGAAAAGGACGGAUGACGGAGGGCGAGUGUUUCUCUCUCUGUGGUCGGGUCAGGGCAUUAAUUAAUCCCACCGUGACAAGAGAGGGAAUAUUAAGCAGCUCAUUAGACCUGACGGGACAUAAACGAGUGUGAGGAGGAAUAAAUGAGCGUCUCUGCAACACCUUUGAGGAGAAUUCAAGAUGUGUGUUUUUCUGCUUCAGAGAGGAAAGAAGAGGAAGUGAUGAUGAAGAAACAGAGAGAAGAAGAACAAACGCUGACUUUUUUCACUGUUUGCCUUCGUGGGCCUAAAGCUGAAAUCACCCAUUAACCUUUUGAACCUGCAGCCGCCGGAGCACAAACAGCUCGGCUCUGAUUCACUGCAGUCAUUAGCGUCUCCAUUAAUUCCUCAGUCUGAGUCCAGAUCCAGCAGUUUACACAGACUGAAUCAGCAGGAGUCCAGGAGCGGAGAACCCGGAUCCUCCAGAGAUCCAGUCUCGGUCCAGGUCAAACAUUUAGACGGUGAAUCAACAGACGAUUGGUGACAUUUUGAAGGUGAGCGCUCAUACACUCGGAGCUCGGAGGACUGCUGCAGCCCGGCUAUAAAAAUGCUGAAUUGCUGGAUGAUUGCUUGACCUUUGCAGCAAAGAGCUGAUGGGAAAUGAGGCGUUAAACUUAUUCUGUGUCGGUCUGAGCAUUAGUGUCCCCGCAGACCCGGUUAGACCUUUGACAGGACUGAGCGAGAACCUCUCAGGCUGUAAAAAUGAUCUGACAGUUUUACGCUCAGGUGUCGGCGCGGCGUGCUCCUGUUUGUCAAGGAAACUGCCGUUCGUUGUGUCAUCAUCCAAGGCUUCAUUAAAUCACGCUCAGAACGAUGUCACACACGCCGUAAAGAUGGACGACAUGACGGCUGUAAAGACAGGAAACACCGAAGCGGCGGAGGAUGAGGAGAGGUUUUCAUCAGCAGAGUCUCGUCUUUGUUUGUCCUGAUCGUGAUCCUUCAUUUUCACCUCUCUCUGCUGAUGAUGUUGUUCUGUUCUUCGGACUAGGAUUUGGCAGUUUAAAGAGAUAUUCCGGCGUAAAAUGAAUUUAGGCUCUAAGUUAGACCCCCUCCCCCAGAGAUGAAUGUUGUCGACCGCUUACUUCUCUAGUUAUACCAACUUUAGUAACGACCGCAGGAUAGCAAUACAGAGAGACACGCACUCAACCAAAACGCCACUCUAUAGCCACAAAUAAUGCUCAGAACAGCACCUAACUUCAUCAACAGGACAUAUAGGGUCACAGACAUAGUACUAUAUUCAGAGUUGUUCUAACUCCUAAGAAAACAUGAACUUAAGCGGGGGCGUUUCUCCACUUCUGUAGUCUGUAAGCUGGACCAAAAACUUCUACUGUAGUAAAAUGAAAAGGUAAAGGUGUUUUUAUUGAGCCGAAUUAUCAAUAAAAUCAUGAUUUUGUUAACAGGUAUGGAUUUAUGUGCUGUUGAGUUAAUAUAUUUGAACAAGAGCACAGUAAAGUUAAAUCAGCUAAUUUUCCAAUGAGGUUCUGUUACUGAACGGAACUACAUCAUGAUCUACUGAGGUUAGUACAUAUAGGGUCACAGACAUAGUACUAGACACCAAACAUCUUUUUAACUUUAGCAAAGAGACUAAACACAACUCACCUACUCUCUUCCAGCAGACGCUUGUUUGUAGAGAGACCUCAGGCCAGUCCAUUACAGACUACAGCGGGGUGCUGCAGCUCAAGGAAGAACAUUUAUGAUCAUUUCUUCAUGGAAAUGCAAUCAGACCGAGACGCUAAGACAGAAGAACUACCGCGUCUGUAAAAUGAUUAAUAUGGUGAUUAUUACUUCAAGGAAAUGAUAAAGAAAUGAUCAUAAAUGUUCUUCCUUGAGCUGCGGCACCCCGCUGUAGUCCGUAAUGGACUGGCCUGAGGUCUCACUACAAACAAGCGUCUGCUGGAAGAGAGUAGGUGA